CGUAAGAAAAACAUAGUGAAUGUGGUAUGGCUUUUCUUAUUAUUAACAAGCAUUUAGGACCCAAGCUAUGACCCAAGCUAAGUACGAUAUUAUUCUUUUGAUGACUGCAUAAACAACUAUUAUGCGCACAUCAUUGAAAUACAAUAAUCAAUUAUAAUAAUAACGAAUUCUUUGAAAAUAACACUAGUUAGUACUUUAUUCAUUUUUAAAAU
rnacentral:lncRNA from 1 species